rnacentral:rRNA from 1 species
UACGUAGGCAGCAAGCGUUGUUCGGAGUUACUGGGCGUAAAGCGUGCGCAGGCGGCUUCUCAAGUCAGGGGUGAAAGCCCAGAGCUCAACUCUGGAAUUGCCUUUGAGACUGAGUGGCUUGAGUACGAGAGAGGUGAGUGGAAUUCCGAGUGUAGAGGUGAAAUUCGUAGAUAUUCGGAAGAACACCAGUGGCGAAGGCGACUCACUGGACACGUAUUGACGCUGAGGUGCGAAAGCGUGGGGAGCAAACAGG